AGUGUUUAUGUUACAGUAUGUAAACAGUUUUCUAUUGAUGCUCGCAAAAACAUAUAUAAAUUGUGUUGACUAUGCGUGUUGACUAUCGAAUAAUAUAAACAGAUUUUAAAUCUGUUUAUGUAUAUCUAUGUCAAAACUAGUUUUAAUAUCUGAUAAAUGUUUAUUUUAUAUUUGAUUUUAUGAUCUAUUUACUUGUACGAUUUAUACUAUAAGAGAAGAUAAAAUAGAAAUAUUGUAAUAAAAGCAAGUUUUCGAACAAUACAAGAAUAUCAAAAUCUAACUCGAUACCACUCGAAUUUUUCCGAUUCUUCCCGAAGUUUUCGAGACUUGAGCAAGCCUACCUUCAAUCUAAUAAUGUACCAGUCACUUACGUAAAUCGUUCUAUGUAAAUCCAAUUGGUCUGCAUGAAACAAAAGCAGCUAAGAAGAGAGAAAGGAAAGUGUGGAUACUAUGCAGUAGAUAGAGACCAAGCAUAGAUGGAAUUUGAUCGAGAAACUGAAAUGCAAAACCACCUCUCGUGGCAGCUCGAGCGUUUCCACUUCGGUAUUUCAUAACUCCGACUCGCCGAUCCGGAAUGCAGGAGUUCUGACAGGAUAUUCCCAGGCUACGUCCAGGAUGUUCCCAGAGUGGAAAUAUAGCCAUUUCAAUAAUCCAUGAGAGAUUCGAAAUCGAUCAAUCUUGUUCGAAGUAUAGAAUAAUUUUUAUUUUUUACUGAUAAGUAA